CAGCAGGCAACUAGGCUAGGAGGAGGGAUGUCUGUUUCUGUCCAGUGAAAGAUUUUGAAACUGACAGGGACAGCUUGUUCCCUGUUCAACACCUCUUGUCCAAUGUCCAAGUCCCACAGCUGAUAACACGACUGAACGUUCAGGAUCUUCCAGACCACGCCUGAGAAGUAACAGAAAUUAUGGCACAGGAUCCUGUAGCCUGCAUCGAACAUCAAAGAUAAAUGACGAAUUCAGACGGAUCUCUACAUUUAUUCAUUGCACAACUGGACCAGUUGCCAUUGCUUUAAAAAAUAAACAAUGCUUUCAGAAAAUUUAAAUUGCUGUGUGCUUUUAUUCAGACAGAA